CGCCGCGUGAGUGAUGAAGGAUUUCGGUCUGUAAAGCUCUGUUGUUUAUGACGAAGUGCAGUGUGUGAACAAUGCAUUGCAAUGACGGUAGUAAACGAGGAAGCCACGGCUAACUACGUGCUAGCAGCCGCGGUAAUACGUAGGUGGCGAGCGUUGUCCGGAAUUAUUGGGCGUAAAGAGCAUGUAGGCGGCUUAAUAAGUCGAGCGUGAAAAUGCGGGGCUCAACCCCGUAUGGCGCUGGAAACUGUUAGGCUUGAGUGCAGGAGAGGAAAGGGGAAUUCCCAGUGUAGCGGUGAAAUGCGUAGAUAUUGGGAGGAACA
rnacentral:rRNA from 1 species